rnacentral:lncRNA from 1 species
CCAUGUAAUACAUAAGGGAAAGAGAUACAUAGUUGGCUUACAAUUGCCACUUCACACAAUUACAUGAAUAAAGCAUUACAUCAUCCAGAUACAAUCAAGGUCCGACUACGGAACCAAAAUAAAAGAAGAACCCCAAAUGCGACAAAGGUCCCUGAUCGACCCCAACUGGGCUCCACUACUGAUCAACUAGAACGAAACAACACAAAGGGCAAGAUCUUCAUCGAGCUCCUCCUUGAGCUUGGUUGCGUCAUCUGCACGGUAACAUAGGCACCUGCAAACUGGUUUUGGAAGUAUCUGUGAGCCACGGGGACUCAGCAAUCUCGCACCCACGAGAUCAAGACUAUUUAAGCUAAUAGGAAGGAUGGAGUAAUGAGGUGGAGCUGCAGCAAGCGACUAGCAUAUAUGGUGGCUAACAUACGCAAAUGAGAGCGAGAAGAGAAGGCAAAGCACGGUCGAUAAAAGUAUGAUCAAGAAGUGAUCCUAUAGCAACCUACGUCAAGCAUAACUCCAACACCGUGUUCACUUCCCGGACUCCGCCGGAAAGAGACCAUCACGGUUACACACACGGUUGAUGUAUUUUAAUUAAGGUCAACUUCGGGUUUUCUACAACCGGAGAUUAGCAAAUUCCUAUCUGCCCAUAACCGCGGGCACGGCUUUCGAAAGAUAAUACCCUGCAGGGGUGUCCCAACUUAUCCCAUCACAAGCUCUCACGGUCAACGAAGGAAUAGACCUCCACCCGAGACAUUCCGAUCAGACUCGGUAUCCCGGUACAACAAGACAUUUCGACAGAGUAAAACUAAACCAGCAACACCGCCCGAAUGUGCCGACAAAUCCCGAUAGGAGCUGCACAUAUCUCUUUCUCAGGGCACACUCAGAUGAGCGCUCCGUACAACUAAAACCAAACCUCGAGUUUCGCCGAGGGGGCGCUGCACAGGACUCUAGUUCGGACCAACACUCAGAGGAGCACUGGCCCGGGGGGGGGGGGGUUAAAAAAAUGAUGACCCUUGAGUCUGCAGAACCCAAGGGAAAGAAAAGGCUAGGUGGAAAAUGGUAAAACCAAUGUUGGGCAUUGCUGGAAGAGCUUUACUUAAGGCGAACUGUCAAGGGGUUCCCAUUAUAGCCCAACCGCGUAAGGGAUGCAAAAUCCGGGAACAUAACACCGAUAUGACGGAAACUAGGGCGGCAAGAAUGGAACAAAACACCAGGCAUAAGGCCGAGCCUUCCACCCUUUACCAAGUAUAUAGAUGCAUUAGUUAAGUAAGAUAUAUUGUGAUAUCCCAACAAGUAAACAUGUUCCAACAAGGAACAACAUCUCCAUGUUCCAACAAGGAACAAACUUCAAUCUUCACCUGCGACUAACAAUGCUAUAAGAGGGGCUGAGCAAAGCGGUAACAUAGCCAAUCAACGGUUUGCUAGGACAUGGUGGGUUAGAGGUUUGACAUGGCAAUUUGGGAGGCUGACAAGCAAAAGGUAGGCAUCGUAGCAUUGGCAUAGCAAGAGCGAGCAAACUAGCAUAGCAAAGAUAGUAGUGAUUUCGAGGGUAUGAUCAUCUUGCCUGAAAUCCCGCAAGGAAGAAGAACGAGUCCAAGAAGAAGACAAUCGGUCGUAGACGAACGAAUCCUCACAACUCCGGAACGAAACCGAAGCUAACGAGAGAAGCAACCCGGAAAGAAACAAACAACAUAGUAAACAAACAUCACAUAAACAUGGCAUGAUGCGCAAACAAGUAUGAUGCAUGUCCGGUUUAAAUAUGCAUGGCAUGGGAAAGUGCACAAACAAUCCUACAAAUUAAGUGGAGCUCAAUAUGCAACGAGUUGCAUAUUGACGAAACACCACAUCAAUUAUUUAGUUAUCUCUCGUUUAAGCUACCCAACAAUAUUAACUGUUGUUAAACAUAGCAAGAGGUGAAGCAUAAUAUAAACUAUACCAUCUAAACAAUUUAAAUGGGGCCGGAUAUAAAAACAACAAAUCCGGUAAAGCCCCAUAUGCAUUUAGCAAUUUAAUGCAACAACAAGUUAAACAUUUUAAAUGUUGUUAUCAUGAUGCGGAUGACAUAUACAAGUUUUAUGCAAUUUUUAUGAAAAUGUUGACAAGAGCAUUAAGAAGCAUUUGGUCACCAUGGCGGAACAAAAAGGGUGCCACGGCGACGAAUCCGAAAAUGAUGCCACGGCAACAUUCCGGUCCCGGUAACUCAUGGAGGUACCGGUGCAAAAGGAAGUGUGACGUGAGCAAGUCAUGCAAGAUGGUGGGGUGAUCCCGAAUUCCGGGUUCCACGGGACGGUGGCACGGCAGAAGAGGGUCAUCGCAAGGACGAUUCGAUCACGGAGCAAACGAUGCAUCUCAUUCAACACAUGCAUUAGGUCACGGGCGUCGUCUCGGCGUUAUACCUUCGAAGCGUGCGUUUUCGGGGCGGGUCGAGUUCGGUACGAUGUAGAGGAAGUAGACAUUCUCGGGUCGUCGUGGGAAGUAGUUGUACAUGACGACAGUAGUGGAAGUAGUGGUUCACGUGGCGACGGUAGUUGUACACAUUUUCGUAGAUGUUCAGGUCGACGGUAGUUGUACACGGGUCCUCGUCUUCAUGGUACUUGGCGUCCUCUCAGCCUUGACAGUGAAGAAACGGAACGCGAUGGUCGUGGUACUUGGCGAAUCCACGGGGUCGACGGUAGGCGUUCUAGGCAUCGGGCGUCCAGGUACUUGCCAGGCUUGAAGAACGUACUUGUCGACAGGAAACCAUAGAGGCGGUCUUGUGUCCCUGUGUUCACUAGUCUUGGCAACGACAGGAAAGGCAACGGGCGACGUCCUUGUUGGACGGAGCUGGUACAUGCGAACCAUGGCGAGGCCGAAGGUGGGUCUCGGGCAGGAGGUGAAGAAGACGACAUGGACGCAAUCUCCGGCGAGAAGGCAAAGCAGAGAAGGCUGGGGUCGAGCACGGGGAGGCUGGAUGCCGGCAGCGAGGAAGGACGGCGCGGCGCGGAGAGCUGGUGGUGGCGCUCCUGGACGCAGCGGGAGGAAGAGCAUCCCGGCACUGCUCGGGAGGCGCGAAGCAGAGGCGCGGGGAGGGAGCCGCACGGAGAGGGAGGAGGGCACGGGGACCGGGACCGGGUCCGGCGAGGAGCUGUGGGCGCCGGUGACUGCAGGCGACGGCGGUGCUCCCCGGGUCCGGUGAGGCGCUGUGGUCGCGCGAGGAGGCGGACGAACGGGCCAGGCGGCGGCGGACGACGGAUGCGGGCGCGGGUGCUCGAGGGGCUCCUCUCCUCGAGCACUCGGGCGACGAGGAUUUGGCGAGGAGGAGGCGCGGUCGCGGCCUGGUGCUGCAGAGGGAGGCGCGCGGGAUCGAGAGGGAGAGAGUGAGAUGGGGAUCGGGAUGAGCGAGGGAGAUGGCGGCGCUGGAGGAAGGGUUCGAGGGGAAGAGAGGGAUCGAGGGACAGAGCUAGGGUUGGUUAUCGGUGCGGCUGGGCUUCAGGAGGGUUGGUGGGCCUAGGAGGCCGGCCCAGCGAAGAGGGAGGCGGCUGGGCUCUCCACUCCCUCUCUUUUCAAAACUCUUCUAAAAACAGAAAAGCAAAGAAAGAAAAGGAGAGAAAAGAAAUGAGUGGACAAGAAUUUGGGCAUGCGGAUAAUUUUUCCGGACUCACAAAAAUGAGCUUGACCCAAGAAAAAUGGAGUGGGCAAGAUUGCAAGAAUUAAAUUCAAAGUCAUUUGAAUUUAAUUUAAAAGGUUUGAACAAGGACUUGGAUUUAGAAGAGUCCAAAAAUGUUUAGAAUUUAGGAGGAGCCUCGAUAAAUGGGAAAAGAAAUGUUGGCAAAGUUUGGGGACCAAACUUGAAGUAGAAAGGGAGUGGGGAUUUUUCAAGUGUGUUUUGGUUAAUUCCAAAAGAAUGGAAUAUUUUUAUUUUAGCUCUCUAAUAAUAUUGAGAGGCUUCAAUAUGUUAUAAAGAGAUAUCACAAGUGACUUCCCUCGAUUUAAAUGGAUCAAAGACCCAUGCAAUUUAUUUAGCUGAGUUGCAAAAGAUUUAUGAGAUGAUGGCAUGAUGACAUGGUGCAAUGCAAAAAAUAAAAGGGCAGGCACAAAUGAAACACACGGCGAAAACUGGAAACCCUGGAAGGCAACUGAAGCUCCGGUCUUGGGGCGUUACAACACUCCACCACUACGAGAGGAUCUCGUCCCGAGAUCUAGAAUGGCACCGGAGGGAAAACGGAAAAGGAAGAGAAACGGUAAAACUAAGUUGCUUCUUACGACAAACGAGUGAAACCAAAGAACCUUGCAAGUUUGAACAAAUUCGAGAAAAGAACACAAGAAGGUGAACGAAGUUGAAAACACUCCGUUAGAAAAGAGGGACAAAGAACAUUGCGAAAACCUAGAGGUUGAAGGGAAGAUAUACAUAGAAAACACUCCGAUUAAGGAAGGGGAUCAAGGAAGACCAAAUUCGGGCAGCACUCCGGUAGAAAAGGGAGGAAUUGAAUAAGAACUUGAUAAGGUGAUAUAACUUGAAAAGAAGGCACGACAAUCCGGUUAAAUGAAUAAGCAAGAAAGGAACAAGGUCCUGACAAAAACAAAAGGAAAGGUUGAAGAUAGCAACAUCACUAUGACUCCGGAACAAAAGAAUAGAAGAUGGAUAAUUGAAAUAGGAGAAUUGAGGAGAAAAUGCCAACUUCUGCCACAAAAGAGCUUGAGAAGGCAUCCUUUGGAAACGGGUCGAACGGAGUUGUUGGAAAACCAACAACGAAAAGGAUAAGCUUGAUAUGGACUUAUAGAAGACGUCUCAAAACUAUGAGGUGACAACUUGCCACUCACGGAAUAAAUUUGAUUGGUAAGAACAAGGAGACUUGAAACUUAUUUCACCGGGAGGAUAGAUGAAUAACUUGUGUCAUUUAUAACCAACAUAGAUAGCAACAAGCCAUAGGGAAGGCUUUAGGUGAAAUAUAACCCGAGAUAACUCCAACGAAGAGGUUGAUGGAUUUAAAAUAUCUCAUACUUAACAACAUGUGAAUCAUGGAACAUGAACUCAAAUUAUCAAGAAUGACAUAAUACCACCUCCAAAAUAUGGUAGAAAGAAUUGCACUCAGGAUUACCAUAUGAAGAAAGCUUGAGCUCCUUAGGAAAGAAUCUCGAUGAAAACUUUGAGAAGGGAAUUAAAUCCUUGAUGAACCAUCAUGUAGAACCUCCAUGAAGAACUCCGGUAAACAAAAGGAAUGAACAGAAAGAGAAAUUGAAAACACAAGGUGAAUCCUUGCAAUGAUUUAGAUGGAUCUCCGUGAUAAUUAGAGCUUGGAACUCCGGGAAAAAGAGAAGAUGAAACAAAUGAAACCGAGAAUUUGAAGGGCCUCCGGAAUAAAGAAUUAAUCACUUGGAUGAACAAGAAUAAGAAUUAUGUUAUGCUUAUCCUUCACCAAUUAAAUUGAUGACAAUCAACGGAUUUGGCUUACUACUUAUUCUCGUAGAAAGGAUUAAAAGAGAUAUAUCAAAACUUGAGAAGGUCUUCAACGAACCACCGGUAGGAUUGGAACAACAAAUGAAUUGAUAUGAUGAACAAGGAAGAGAGAUCUUGAAAGAACCACCGUAAGAAUUGAAAAUGAUCGAAGUAAGGGUGCAUCACCGGUAAGAAUUAGCAAAUGAACGAAGGUGCUUGAGACAAACUAGAUACAUGAGAACAAAUAGAUCAAGAACUGAUUAGAGGAUAUUCGAUAGAUGCACCGGCAAGAUAGGAGAAUGAUAACUGACAGCUGAGAAUGAAUAAACCUGAAUUGAUGGACUCCGGAUGACAAACUGAGAAGACUCUUGAAUAUCUUCUGAUGGGUGAAAAAGAUUCUCACAAUCGAAAACAAUUAUGAGAGGAUGGCAACAAGCUAGCACCAUGAAUCUUGAAGAGAAUAGAGCAAGAUUAAAGAGAAACUCUUCUUCGGUCUUCAAAUGAUGAGAAUGACAACGAGAAACACCACCAAGAAUUAUUGAGGCACACCGGAAGAAUCAAAAGCGAAGAGGUUGAGCCAACUAUGAAAAGAAUUUGAAAGAUCUUGGAGAAAAUCAUUUGACUAAUGAUAACUCAUUCUUACGUCAAACUUGGAGAAGAAUUUAGGAUAGCUCUGGGAAAAUAGAAGAGUCAGGUAAGAUCCUGGGAAAAGACCUUGGGUUAGGGCCCACUCAAAAGAAAACACCGUUGAAAAGAUUUAAAAGAGAUGUUGCACCGGUUGAAUUAAAUGACUUGAAUGAGAUACCAAUCUCGAAAGAGCUUGAACGGAUUGAGAAUGGAAACACGAAUCUUCUGAGAUAUCUUGAGCACUCCGAAUAAGAAUAGAGAGAGAUGAACAAUUAUGAGAGGCACCAGCAUGGGAUAGCAUUUGAACAAGGAUAAGGAUAUGAUCAACACCGAAAGCUUAAGGUAAAUCCACCGGAGAAGAAAACGAGAAUGAAGAGUGAUGAACUUGGAGCUCCGUUAGUAUCUUUUUGAGAAUCACCAGAUAAGAACAUUGACGGAAAAGAAUGGAGAAACUUCCCAUCAAUAAAAGGAUACAUGAUUAAGAUAUCUGAGUCCUUGAACAAAAAGGGUGGGAGGGCGGGAAAAACAAAGGCAACUUGGGGCAGUUGGAAUGAACACCGUUGAGAAAACUUAGAAUUGAUCUUGCGGAUGGGGAGAAUGAUCGGAUCCACUUGAAGAGAGACACACUGGUUGAAAAGGAUUGGCAAGACAAUCUCGAUGAUCAAGAAGGAUUAGUAUUCACAUCGGAGUAUGAGAACACUGUUUCGGGAAGGUAUGGAAUCAACACUUGACAUUGAAGCAACUCGAAUACCACAACUCAAAACAAAAACAAGGGGUUGGCUUGCAGAAUAAGCCGGAACAAAACAUAUGAUAGAGAUUUCGUCCGAAGUUUUCGUGGUGGGGCCUACACGGGCUCGAGUGUAUAUCACCAUCAUGUACAAGGCAGUGCACAUGACAUACGAAGUGUCCCCGAACCAGCAUAGCAAAGGGUUCUUUAAGACACAACGAGACCACUGUAAAAACGACCGUGAAUAGGCGGACCACUAGACGUCGAACCCCAAUUUCAUAUCAUACAUCUGUCGGAAAGAUAUCCUAAGAGCUACUUGAUUUCCCACCUAUGAAACUCCCGAAAUUUUCCGGUUAUGCAAUCAGGUGUUGGGGAUACAGGGGAAGCAUAAUAUCUCACCCAAACUAGCAAAUCCUACAUCCAGUUGUAUCCAUCCUUCAACACAUAACCAAGAAAACUUCGGAAACCAUCUACCUCAACCUUUGAAAAGCAUCCGUUAUACAAGUUAUGGCAAUACUCCCGAACUCCCGCCCCAGUACUGGGUGGCGUCGAGGUUAUCUCACCAACGAACUGCAUAAAAGAGAUUUUCGAUGUCGGCGUACUAAACUCAGGUAUACCAGAAUUGCAACGAUAAAAUUAUGAUGACAACACCUCAGAGCUCAACUCCCCGGGACACUUCCACUAAACCCCUGACAGGAGGCACCAAGACAAUGUUCUCAUCAUAAAACCAUCGGAACGAUUCCAAGAUACCCGCGUGAUCCUAAAUUUUUUUAGUGAAAUUUGAGAAGAGAAGAGUCAAAACUCUACGUCAGGAUGCCUUACCAGAGCGAUGAAGAGACUGGGGAGUAAAAAGAAUUCCUAACUCUCCGAUAUAUAUAAUCCUAAAUGACUCAAAAUAUUUUUCUAGACACAACUCGGCCGCUAAAAACGAUCAAGCAGUGGGGCUCCUAAGGUCGGGGAAGGCUCUGAUUACCAACUUGUAACGCCCUCGAUGCGGCUAUAUCUCCCACGUGUCGAAGCACGACUUAGAGGCAUAACCGCAUUGAAAGCAAUGUCGCAAGUGAGGUAAUCUUCACACAACCCAUGUAAUACAUAAGGGAAAGAGAUACAUAGUUGGCUUACAAUCGCCACUUCACACAAUUACAUGAAUAAAGCAUUACAUCAUCCAGAUACAAUCAAGGUCCGACUACGGAACCAAAAUAAAAGAAGAACCCCAAAUGCGACAAAGGUCCUUGAUCGACCCCAACUGGGCUCCACUACUGAUCAACUAGAACGAAACAACACAAAGGGCA